rnacentral:rRNA from 1 species
AUUGAACGCUGGCGGCAGGCCUAACACAUGCAAGUCGAGCGAGCGGCGGACGGGUGAGUAAUGUAUGGGAAAAUGUCUGAUGGAGGGGGAUAACUAUUGGAAACGGUAGCUCAUACCGCAUACAAUAAGAUGUGCCCAGAUUGGAUUAGCUAGUAGGUGGGGUAACGGCUCACCUCGGCGACGAUCCCUAGCUGGUCUGAGAGGAUGACCAGCCACACUGGAACUGAGACACGGCCCAGACUCCUACGGGAGGCAGCAGUGGGGAAUAUUGGACAAUGGGGGAAAGCCUGAUGCAGCCAUGCCGCGUGUGUGAAGAAGGCCUUCGGGUUGUAAAGCACUUUCGGCAGAGAAGCGGUACCUGCAGAAUAAGCACCGGCUAACUCCGUGCCAGCAGCCGCGGUAAUUC